GCAAAUCUUAAAAUUUUUAAAAAAAUUUUAAAAACCCGCUUUUUAAAAGGACCAAUUCAGGUAUGAAGUUUCUUUGUGGAGCUUACAUAGUGGAAACCGCCCAUAAAUUAACCCACUGUAGAAACUACACCGCUCAAGUUAUUCAAAUAUGAUUUUACAAACUAUGUUAACCCUUUAGGUG